CUAAUACCGGAUGCUCUCGAGGGACCACAUGAUCCCUCGAGGAAAGCCCAAGCGGUUGGGGAUGGGCCCGCGGCCUAUCAGCUUGUUGGUGGGGUAACGGCCCCCCAAGGCUUUGACGGGUAGCUGGCGUGAGAGCGUGGCCCGCCCCCCUGGGACUGAGACCCGGCCCCGACUCCUACGGGAGGCAGCAGUGGGGAAUUUUGCGCAAUGGGCGAAAGCCUGACGCAGCGACCCCGCGUGCGGGAUGAAGGCCCUCGGGUUGUAAACCGCUUUUGGCAGGGACGAAGCGAAAGUGACGGUACCUGCAGAAGAAGGUCCGGCUAACUACGUG
rnacentral:rRNA from 1 species